AGUUCAUCGUCCUUAACCAUCAAGAACCGUCCCAUUAAUGGGUUUCAGUAGGUUGUGCUAGAUGUAUCUUCCUAAUGAAUCUCUGGAUCGAGCUUCAUUUGCGCCGGUUCGUCUUAGAUUCGUCUCCUCCAAAACGUUACGGAUUCAUCAAUUUAUUGCCAUUAAGAAGCAUCUUUACUCCUUUGACCACCAACAAGCACCAAUCAAACAUUCAAUGCUUCUAAUUCCUCAUUCAGGCGGUGUUUACCCCCCCCCCCCCCCCCCCCCCCCAUAAAAAGGAUGAGAGUGCUUUCAGAGUUUUGGUGAGCUUUUACAAGUGGUGAUCAUGAGAGAUCGAGUCACUGGCUGUGAUCAUGGCUUUGGUUUCUUUUUCUUCGUUGGUCCCAGUGUUCCUGUGAGAGCCAUAUUGCUCUAUGUUAAAUUGACUGACGGGUUAUCGGAUUUGAGUCGAGCGGUUGGAUCUCAUCGUCUCGAUAGACGAAGAUUCACAGUCUGGAUCAUAACGCUGCUGCAAAGAAAUGAUAAGAAACGAUGCUAUGCUUAGUUAAGACGCAAAGAGAUCUGUAUAUGGUAUGAAAAUCGAGAAUUGAUGCAAGUGAUGCUGAUAAGAAGAUGGACAUGUCAGUUCAACAGGGGUUCAAAGGUCCAGUGUCCCUGUUAAAAUUUCUCCGACACUGUUCCAUCUCUUCUUUCUUUCUACAUCUCCAUCGACGGUUCCGACUAUGUGCUUUCUCCUCUUAAGAUAUAUUCUCAUGUACAGAUGGGCCCUUCGUAUAUGCCGGGCUUGGUGGAAGAAAAUAGUUUGGAUACUCAGGUUGUACCAGUCCCUGGCUCUGAGUUAAUCAUGGCACCUUCUCAGUGGAGCAGUAAAUAUUGUUGGUAACUUGACAGACUUUUAAAAAAUGUCGCUUUCUCUUCUGCCUGAGCAUGAUGACGGUAUGUUGUAUGGGGCCUUCAUGUUAUAUGAGUUGAGAGAAACUCUUGAUUUGUUUUUAUUAAUGUGGAGUGGACUCAAACUAUUUACCCAUGUAAACAUAACACUAUGUAUUUUAUCUAGGAGGACACUACCCUCCAAAACUUCACUUGGACGUUGACAGGACAGCCAUAAUAAGCACUGAUGUAAGUGUCUCACCCUUCCACCACAUCGUUAUAAACUCGACUUUGAAGUCCUGUUAUUCCCAAAAGAAGUCUCAUUUGGGUCUGCAGUCGUUUUUAACAAGUGCUCGAGGGUCUAUGAUGUGAUGUUAGAACCUAGGCUUGCAGUUUGAUUAGUUUUUUUUUGGGUUCUUUUAGCCAUUGAUAGGUUUGGAUUGAGAUUAAUUUUAAUUAGAUAAGAGUUUUUAAAAUGCAGCUGGAAAAUACAGUUUAUGCAUUGCAUAUCACAGAAACGUAUGAUGAUUUCGAGGCAGAAUGAUUCUUGCACGAAGCCAUAAAUAUUACUGCAAAACAUUAUGUUCUCGAGUGCAUUUUUACGAGAGAAGUGAGUCGUUUUCUGUUCCUCUUUGGCUGAAUCUCAUGCCUCCUAAUGGAGUGUGGUUGCUAUGGAAAUGCAAGCUAAAGCUAAAGUUAAAAUAGCGCCCAUAAGGGAAAAUUGCAUUGCUUAACUUUGCAAAAUUUAUGUUUCUUGAUUGAACAGUUUGCUUGAUGCCGCUCAAGAAUACAUAACAAAACAUGCUUAUUCUGUGUAUCAAAAUCUGUUUUCUAACCCAUUUCAACAUCGUUAUAGAAAGAAAAGUUAUGGUUUUUUAUCUUUAUAUUUGAGAUUCAAAAUAGACUUCACUACAAUGUCUUUUUCCUCUCUUUUUUUUAAAAAAAAUUUCUUUUCUGUUCCUAGCUUAAUUGGGUUGUUGAUGUUUAUAAUAUAUAAAAUACCAUCUGCUUAAGAGUUUAUACAAAAUUUUCCUUAAGAGAUUCGAAGUUUUGAUCUGGUCCUCUGCUUGAAUGUUAGUCUCCUCAUUUUUGGUCUUUAUAAAUAUGUAAUAGUUCUGAAAAAGAAAUAAAUUCUUUAAGCUUAUAGUAUGUUGAUUGAGUUUUCAUGAUUCUGUUACAUAUACACAUCUUUUUUGUAUAAUCUUUGUUAUAGAUGGUUCUGUUAUAUAUUCACACUCUUUUUGUA